rnacentral:lncRNA from 1 species
AGAAAAACACCACCGCACUCUAGGCGCUCCGAUUGGGGAAAUCCAUGGCCUCCUGUUGCCAGUCGCCCGGCGAGGAUAGCGGACAGCCCGGCCGCCGGAGAAGCAAGAGGGAGAAAGAAAACCUUCCGGGGACCCUCUCCUCGCCCGGCUCCGCUGACCCUUCCACCAAGCCGCCCUCCCAGAGAAGGGGGCAAGAAAAGCGCCCGUGCAAACGUGCCUCGGCGGGCUGGGGAGUGGCGCCGGGGAGAAGGGCGGCCUUCGGAGAGCACAGCCGUCCCGGGAAGAGGAAGGAGGAGAAAGCCCUCCUUUCAGCCCCCCGAGCCCCGGGCGAGGAGGGAGGCGACGAGUCUAGCAGGCUGCGUCCCAGAGCCUCCUAGACCUUUAGCAUGGGCGACGGAAGGGCAGCCCCAUCCGGCCUACCCCUCCCCAUCCCCCUGCCCGUCCCAGGCCCACGCCAGAGGGACAGAGCCCGCCCGGCGAGGCAAGCGGCAAGCACGCCGGGCCCGCCGCCCUCCGCCUCCGUCUGCGCCGGAGCCGCGGUGGACCCGCGAGGGGCGGAGUGGGCGAGACCAUUGGAAGCGCUCGGGAGGGGGGACGAGGCAGGAACGAGGGGCGGGGCCUCCUAACCUAUUCCAGAUUUCCCCGUGCUGUCUAAAGCCCUGCGUUGGGAGAAACCCCGUUAUCAAAGUGGAGAGAAGAGAUUUCUUUUUGGAAAGGGGAGGAGCGUGUGUAGGAGGGCGGAGGGUGGGGGGUUGCCGCGGCCGGCACGCCGGGCUCAGACCGGAGCAGGGAGUUGCGCGGGGAGGGCGGGCGAGUCCCGGCGCCCGCUCGGAGGGUCGGCUGCCUCUCCCCCUCCCGCGCGGGCCGGGGUGGUGCGUUCCGAGUUCCCAGGAGUUCGAGGCGGGCGGGGGCCGGGGGGGGGGGGGGGGCGGGGGGGGGGGGGGGGUCCCGCCUCAGCCUCGGCAGUGGCGUCGGCGGCGGCGGAGUCGAGGCAGCCGCGAGUGCUCUGCUGAGAGGCAGCCGGCGGCGACGGCUCGAGAACUGGGAGUUGAGGGCGCGCGCGCCGGACCUUCCGCCGCCGCCGCGCUGCGGCCGCUUCUGCCGCCGCCCAGAGCCUGA